rnacentral:tRNA from 1 species
GCGGGCGUAGCUCAGUGGUAGAGUCCUAGCUUCCCAAGCUAGUUGUCAGGGGUUCAAAUCCCCUCGCCCGCU